AUGUGAUGUGACAUGCCUGUUUGGGUUUUACUUUGAUAUUGAAUUAUUUAUUAUCUAACUGAAUUUGGGAAACGGGGUGUUACACACA
rnacentral:pre_miRNA from 1 species